UAAUUUGCAUACAACAUGUAAUGAUUAAACACAUUCAGUGAAUAGUGUGCGGUUCUCUAUUCUUUUGAUAUUUUCUCUAAGUUCCCUUUAAGAAAGUGUAAUUUUGGGUUUCCAUUUCUCAAUUGUAAUGUACAUAUGAUUCUUACUAUGUCUUUGCAGUUUGCUCAACCGGAGGGGGAUGACAAGACUCUGUGUGUUGAUGAGUGGCCGUUUCUUCAAACAGAGUUUUGUGAGGUAAGGGAAUGGGGGAAAAAGAGAGCAUCUUGUAAUAAUUUAAUAUUUGGGUUUUGUUGUUAAAUUUGUAUGUAGCGCCACAAAAUACAGGCAUGCACAACACUAUGUUUGUUACUGUUUUAAAUAAACUACAUUAGCAGUAAGUUCUUUGAACUGCCCACUUUUCAAUUUUCAUGCAAUUGUAUCUCAUGAUAAUUUUGCUCCCUUACCUCAUUGUUGAAGGUGAACCAGCCAACUGCUCGGGUUGUCUCUGGACAGAGAAAACAAGAGGAGCCAACACCUUGGGGUCCAAAAGUUGUGAUGGCCCAGGCUGAUAAACCAACAGCCAAUGAGACCAGCUUCUUGGGGUGUUCAACCAAGAUGACACACAUUGAGGACCACGAGCCGUUUGAACCAGCACCUGAGGUCACUGCGAGCAGUCAGCAGCAGAGCCCGCCUGAGGACAAUGGCCAGCUUGAAGAUCCUCAUGUAACACUUGGCAAUCAGCCAAGUGCACACUGCAAUAAGCAGUGUGCUACAAAUGGCAUAGCGGCGAUUAUGACCCACACCACCCAUAGCGUUCUCAAAUGGAAAAAAAAGAACAUUCAUCAUAUUCUAAAACUAGGCAAUGGCUUAGUGUGUGUACACAUCUAUGCUAGAAAAUAAGGAAAUCAGUUCAGCCAAAACCAGUGGGCAUAUUUUCAUUUCCGAGUUACCCAGACACUGCAAAUUAAACAAUAAAUUAUUUAGUUUGGAAUAUUUGAUCAAAAGGAUGAUUAUGACG
rnacentral:lncRNA from 1 species